CAAUAGCGUAUAUUAAAGUUGUUGCGGUUAAAAAGCUCGUAGUUGGAGUUCUGCCAGGUGCCGCCUGUCCGCCCCAGUGGUGAGUACGUGGCGCGCAUUUGGCCCUUUCAAGGGGAGCGUAUCUGCACUUGAUUGUGUGGUGCGGGAUCCUUGACUUUUACUUUGAGGAAAUAGGAGUGUUCCAAGCAGGCUCUCGUCGUGCACAGCUCAGCAUGGAAUAAUAGCAUUGGACCUCGAUUCUAAGCUGUUGGUUGCCAGAAGCGAGGUAAUGAUGAAGAGGGAUAGUUGGGGGCAUUCGUAUUUAACUGUCAGAGGUGAAAUUCUUGGAUUAGUUAAAGACGGACUACUGCGAAAGCAUCUGCCAUGGAUGUUUUCAUUGA
rnacentral:rRNA from 1 species